AUUAUUAAAGUAUAAAAAAUAUUUUUAGAUUAGUAUUAGUUAUAUUUAUGAAAUUAAAAUAAAUUGGCGGUAUUUUAGACUAUUCAGAGGAAUUUGUUUUAUAAUCGAUAUUCCUCGUUAUACCUAACUUAUAUUAUUUAAUUUGUAUAUCGUUGUCAUUAGAAUAUUUUAUAAGAAAAAUAAUUUUCUAAAAUUAGAUAAAAUUUUAUGUCAAAUCAAGGUGCAGUUUAUAUAUAAGUAAAAAUGAAUUACAAUAAUAUAUAAUUAAAUGAAUUAAAAUUUGAAAUAAUUUUAUGAAGGUGGAUUUGAUAGUAAAUUUAAAAAUUAUAUUAAAUUGAUUUUAGUUCUAGAAUAUGUAC
rnacentral:rRNA from 1 species